rnacentral:rRNA from 1 species
AUUGAACGCUGGCGGCAGGCUUAACACAUGCAAGUCGAGCGGAGAUGAGGUGCUUGCACCUUAUCUUAGCGGCGGACGGGUGAGUAAUGCUUAGGAAUCUGCCUAUUAGUGGGGGACAACAUUCCGAAAGGAAUGCUAAUACCGCAUACGUCCUACGGGAGAAAGCAGGGGAUCUUCGGACCUUGCGCUAAUAGAUGAGCCUAAGUCGGAUUAGCUAGUUGGUGGGGUAAAGGCCUACCAAGGCGACGAUCUGUAGCGGGUCUGAGAGGAUGAUCCGCCACACUGGGACUGAGACACGGCCCAGACUCCUACGGGAGGCAGCAGUGGGGAAUAUUGGACAAUGGGCGCAAGCCUGAUCCAGCCAUGCCGCGUGUGUGAAGAAGGCCUUAUGGUUGUAAAGCACUUUAAGCGAGGAGGAGGCUACUUUAGAUAAUACCUAGAGAUAGUGGACGUUACUCGCAGAAUAAGCACCGGCUAACUCUGUGCCAGCAGCCGCGGUAACAC